UCCAGACUCCUACGGGAGGCAGCAGUGAGGAAUAUUGGUCAAUGGGCGCGAGCCUGAACCAGCCAAGUCGCGUGAGGGAAGACGGUCCUAUGGAUUGUAAACCUCUUUUGUCGGGGAGCAAAAGACGCCACGCGUGGCGUUCCGAGAGUACCCGAAGAAAAAGCAUCGGCUAACUCCGUGCCAGCAGCCGCGGUAAUACGGAGGAUGCGAGCGUUAUCCGGAUUUAUUGGGUUUAAAGGGUGCGCAGGCGGAAGAUCAAGCCGGGGGUAAAAUUGAGGGGCCCAACCUCUUCGAGCCGUUGAAACUGGUUUUCUUGAGUGAGCGAGAAGUAUGCGGAAUGCGUGGUGUAGCGGUGAAAUGCAUAGAUAUCACGAAGAACUCCGAUUGCGAAGGCAGCAUACCGGCUCCAUACUGACGCUGAGGCACGAAAGCGUGGGGAUCGAACAGGAUUAGAUACCCCGGUAGC
rnacentral:rRNA from 1 species